AACAAACGCUGGCGGCGUGCCUAACACAUGCAAGUCGUACGAGAAAGGGUCCUUCGGGGCCUGAGUAAAGUGGCGCACGGGUGAGUAACGCGUGGAUAAUCUGCCCUUCAGUUGGGAAUAACUCAUCGAAAGGUGGGCUAAUACCGAAUAAUGCUGUGAGACCUCGGUUGAUCAGCCAAAGAGAGCCUCUGCUUGCAAGCCCUCGCUGAAGGAUGAGUCCGCGUACCAUUAGCUAGUUGGUAGGGUAAUGGCCUACCAAGGCGACUAUGGUUAGCUGGUCUGAGAGGAUGAUCAGCCACACUUGAACUGAGACACGGUCCAGACUCCUACGGGAGGCAGCAGUGAGGAAUCUUGCGCAAUGGGGGCAACCCUGACGCGGCAACGCCGCGUGAGUGAGGAAGGGCUUCGGAUCGUAAAGCUCUGUCGGAUGGAAAGAACCGCAUAGGGGUAAACAGCCCCUGUGUCUGACGGUACCAUCAAAGGAAGCACCGGCUAACUCCGUGCCAGCCGCCGCAGUAAAAC
rnacentral:rRNA from 1 species